GGCUCAGGCCCAAAUAACUCCCCAUAGCCCAUAAAAAUACUACACUUAAGCCCACCCGUUUGACGGCCCAAAGACGUCGUUUCUUAAAUAAUUUUUUUGUAUUUUAUUUUCGCGUAGGGCCCACCUUCCAACGGCUUCCAACGGUUCUUUAAUUAGAAAUUAGGGUUCAAAUAGUAUGAACCCUAACUUGCGAUUACAGGGGCGAUGAAUUGGCAGAAGUAGAAGAAAAUUUGUUAAAUUAGCUUAGGGUUUCUUUUGGAUAUAAGAAAUCAAGGUAAGAACAUGAGUUUGAACUCAGGAUUUGGGUCCUCAUCGUCACGUGGUCGAAGGCAGAUGGAUGCUGAGCAUGGGAGUAAUUACGUGUAUUGUCGUUGCGAGUUUGAAGGCAGGAGGCUUCAAGCUCCGAGAAUUACCUCAUGGACAGACGACAACCCCGGGAGAAGGUUCUACAGAUGUAGAAAUUGGAGAGUAUGUCAUUUCUUGUUUUACUUGGUUGUAGACGAGAAAUCUGUGGUUUUCUUAAAUUUCAUACUUUGUUGUUUUCUUUGUAGACGAAAAACAGUGGUUUUUUCGUCUGGUAUGAAGAGCCCAUGUGUGAGAGAGCUAGAGAAGUGAUAAAUUACUUGAAGAAUGAAAAUAUGAAGCUCUUAAGGAUCCAUCAAAGUUCGGCCUCUCCCCUGGAUGUGGAGUUGACAACCUUUGGAAUGUAAUGGAAGGCUUAAAGGAAGAAUCCAGGAAAGUUAGAAGGAAAAAUACAAUUGUUGUGAUGUUUUGAUUGUAUCUUGGUUGAUGAUAGGCUAUGUUGUUCUAGCAUGAAAUUGGCAAUAUUUGGAAUGUAAUGGAAGGCUUGGUAGGUUUUCAUUGUUUUUGUAUCUA
rnacentral:lncRNA from 1 species